AACGAACGCUGGCGGCAUGCCUAACACAUGCAAGUCGAACGAGACCUUCGGGUCUAGUGGCGCACGGGUGCGUAACGCGUGGGAACCUGCCCUUAGGUUCGGAAUAACUCCCCGAAAGGGGUGCUAAUACCGGAUAAUGUCUUCGGACCAAAGAUUUAUCGCCUUUGGAUGGGCCCGCGUUGGUUUAGCUAGUUGGUAGGGUAAAAGCCUACCAAGGCGACGAUCCAUAGCUGGUCUGAGAGGAUGAUCAGCCACACUGGGACUGGGACACGGCCCAGACCACGACGGGAGGCAGGAGGGGGGAAUAAUGGAAAAGGGGCGAAAGCCGGAUCCAGAAAUGCCGGGUGAGUGAUGAAGGGCUUGGGGUUGUAAAGCUCUUUUACCCGGGAUGAUAAUGAAAGACCCGGGAAAAAAAGCCCGGGUAAACACCGG
rnacentral:rRNA from 1 species